GACGAACGCUGGCGGCGUGCUUAACCCAUGCAAGUCGAACGAAGUGGCGAACGGGUGAGUAACGCGUAAUCAACCUGCACUUCAGAGGGUGACAACAUUUGGACACGACUGCUAAUACCGCAUAUUGUAGGAGGCGAUUGAGUCGGAUUAGCUAGUUGGAGGGGUAACGGCCCACCAAGGCGAUGAUCAGUAGCCGGUCUGAGAGGAGGAACUGCCAAUAUGGGACUGAGACACGGCCCAGACUCCUACGGGAGGCAGCAGUGGGGAAUCUUCCUCAAUGGACGAAAGUCUGACGGAGCAACGCCGCGUGAGUGAUGACGGCCUUCGGGUUGUAAAGCUCUGUUAAUCGGGACGCGGUACCGGAAUAGAAAGCCACGGCUAACUACGUGCCAGCAGCCGCGGUAAUAG
rnacentral:rRNA from 1 species